rnacentral:rRNA from 1 species
UAAUUGAAGAGUUUGAUCAUGGCUCAGAUUGAACGCUGGCGGCAGGCCUAACACAUGCAAGUCGAACGGUAGCACAGGGGAGCUUGCUCCCCGGGUGACGAGUGGCGGACGGGUGAGUAAUGCCUGGGAAACUGCCCGAUGGAGGGGGAUAACUACUGGAAACGGUAGCUAAUACCGCAUAACGUCUUCGGACCAAAGUGGGGGACCUUCGGG